AGAGUUUGAUCCUGGCUCAGAUUGAACGCUGGCGGCAGGCCUAACACAUGCAAGUCGAGCGGAAACGAGUUAACUGAACCUUCGGGGAACGUUAACGGCGUCGAGCGGCGGACGGGUGAGUAAUGCCUGGGAAAUUGCCCUGAUGUGGGGGAUAACCAUUGGAAACGAUGGCUAAUACCGCAUAAUAGCUUCGGCUCAAAGAGGGGGACCUUCGGGCCUCUCGCGUCAGGAUAUGCCCAGGUGGGAUUAGCUAGUUGGUGAGGUAAUGGCUCACCAAGGCGACGAUCCCUAGCUGGUCUGAGAGGAUGAUCAGCCACACUGGAACUGAGACACGGUCCAGACUCCUACGGGAGGCAGCAGUGGGGAAUAUUGCACAAUGGGCGCAAGCCUGAUGCAGCCAUGCCGCGUGUGUGAAGAAGGCCUUCGGGUUGUAAAGCACUUUCAGCAGUGAGGAAGGCGGGUACGUUAAUAGCGUAUUCGUUUGACGUUAGCUGCAGAAGAAGCACCGGCUAACUCCGU
rnacentral:rRNA from 1 species